rfam:Triticum urartu cultivar G1812 contig984166, whole genome shotgun sequence.
AACAUACUCCCUCCGUUCCGAAUUAUUUGUCUUAGAUUUGUAUAGAUAUAAAAAUAUUUAGCACUAAAAUGAGUCUAGAUACAUCCGUAUCUAGACAAAUUCAAGACAACUAAUUCAGAACGGAGGGAGUACAUG